UACCAGCACCCCGAGUGGUCGGGACGUUUAUUGGGCCUAAAGCAUCCGUAGCCGGUUCUACAAGUCUUCCGUUAAAUCCACCUGCUCAACAGAUGGGCUGCGGAAGAUACUAUGGGCUAGGAGGCGGGAGAGGCAAGCGGUACUCGAUGGGUAGGGGGUAAAAUCCGUUGAUCCAUUGAAGACCACCAGUGGCGAAGGCGGCAUUGCCAGAACGCGCUCGACGGUGAGGGAUGAAAGCUGGGGGAGCAAACCAGG
rnacentral:rRNA from 1 species